GCGGCGGACGGGUGAGUAAUGCGUAGGAAGCUGCCCGAUAGAGGGGGAUACCAGUUGGAAACGACUGUUAAUACCGCAUAAUGUCUACGGACCAAAGUGUGGGACCUUCGGGCCACAUGCUAUCGGAUGCGCCUACGUGGGAUUAGCUAGUUGGUGAGGUAAUGGCUCACCAAGGCGACGAUCUCUAGCUGGUUUGAGAGGAUGAUCAGCCACACUGGAACUGAGACACGGUCCAGACUCCUACGGGAGGCAGCAGUGGGGAAUA
rnacentral:rRNA from 1 species